rnacentral:rRNA from 1 species
UGGGGAAUAUUGGACAAUGGGCGCAAGCCUGAUCCAGCCAUGCCGCGUGAGUGAUGAAGGCCUUAGGGUUGUAAAGCUCUUUCGGCGGGGACGAUAAUGACGGUACCCGCAGAAGAAGCCCCGGCUAACUUCGUGCCAGCAGCCGCGGUAAUACGAAGGGGGCUAGCGUUGCUCGGAAUCACUGGGCGUAAAGGGCGCGUAGGCGGACAUUUAAGUCGGGGGUGAAAGCCCAGGGCUCAACCCUGGAAUUGCCUCCGAUACUGGGUGUCUCGAGACCGGAAGAGGUGAGUGGAACUGCGAGUGUAGAGGUGAAAUUCGUAGAUAUUCGCAAGAACACCAGUGGCGAAGGCGGCUCACUGGUCCGGUUCUGACGCUGAGGCGCGAAAGCGUGGGGAGCAAACAGGAUUAGAUACCCUGGUAGUCCACGCCGUAAACGAUGGAUGCUAGCCGUUGGCAGGCUUGCCUGUCAGUGGCGCAGCUAACGCUUUAAGCAUCCCGCCUGGGGAGUACGGCCGCAAGGUUAAAA